CCGAGUGCGGGCCCUCUGGGUCCAACCUCCCAUCCGUGUCUCUUGUACCCUGUUGCUUCGGCGGGCCCGCCUUCAUGGCCGCCGGGGGGGCUCUCUAGCCCCCCGGGCCCGCGCCCGCCGGAGACUCCAACAUUGAACACUGUCUGAAGUUUGCAGUCUGAGUUUUCAUAUAAGAAAAAUCGUUAAAACUUUCAACAACGGA
rnacentral:misc_RNA from 1 species